UGGAAAUUUAGCUUGAUCGAGAUUCCAGAACAAAGAAAAAGGUAAAAUAAUGAUUGCACAUUACACCAAAUAGGUUCUCCAUGAUAAAAACAAGUUUGAUUGAUGAAAAUAAAACAGCUGUUACCGUGUUAGGCGCCUCUUUCAAGUCUGUUAUACGUGACCAUGUUGAAAUAUUAUAUGAUACUUUUUCUUAUACUGUCAAUAUAUUGCACUGAUACAAGAUAUUUUAGCCAUAAUUUGUGUUAUUUGAAUCCAUUUAUCAAAUUGCUUGAUUAACUUGUGUUGUUUCUGAAGAUAUAUGCAAUUUAAAAUAAGUAAUAACCAUGAUAACUGUAGAAAGUAAAAAAAAGGGGGAGGGGUGCAUAGCCACAAGUACUUGUUUUCUAUCUGUGACAAGAGCUACUUUCCCUAUAUAUUAAGGCUACAAGUGUCUUUUGCUCUGUUAUUUUUUUAGAUAUCUGGGUCCAUUACAAACUCCGCACAUUUCAAACUUGGCAUAUUACCAACUCCGCCUAUUAAUGAUAACACUGCAUAUAUCACUGGGGGUCGUCGCUAACAUGCAUGAAAUAUUUGCCACUGGAUGCAGUGGCGGAUCCAGAACUUUUCCUAAGGGGGGGCCCGCUGACUGACCUAAGGGGGGGGCCUCUCCAGUCAUGUUUCAGUGAUUCCUUAUAUGAUCAAGCCAAUUUUUCCCACGAAAGGGGGGCCCAUCCCCUGGAUCCGCCUAUGGGAUGUUGAGCAACAAACGAUCAAUCAUUGUAUCACUGGGUCUGACAUGGAAAUAGACAAUUGUGCCAAUAAAGAUGUUGUAAAAUAUAGGCGUCACAGAAAAAAAUUAAGAUAGCCAUCAAAGUUGUCGUAAUGGGACUAGGUCGUUGUAGGAAGGCGUCCCAGAAAAAAAUUAAAAAAACAGCCUUCCAAGUCUUGAAAGUGUCAUAAUGAUUUAGACUAGGAUAUAGCCUUGAGAGUUGAGUAAAAUUUUCUUGUUUUCAGGGUAAAACCCAGUUUACAGGUGUUAAAAAACAGUACAUAGGGACAUCUUUUUGCUGUACAAUUUAUAGUAUGAAAUCUAUAUGUUUAUCAAUGACGAGCUACAUGUACAAUCACUAAAUAUGUGAUCAGAAACAAUGUUGUAAUCAAUCAUAAAACAUAUGAAUUUUGGAAUGCAUUUAAAUUUGUCACUUUGUUCUCUUAAAGAUUUGUUGGACUAACAUGAUCAAAUAAACAUGCAUACAUUUUUUUUAUAUAAAUAAGGCGGUAAAUUUUCUCGUUUAAAUUGUUUCACAUUGUCAUUUCGGGGCUUUUCAUAGCUGGCUAUGCGGUAUGGGCUUUGCUCAUUGUUGAAGGCCGUACGGUUACCUAUAAAUGUUAAUUUCUGUGUCAUUUUGGUCUCUUGAAAAGAGUUGUCUCAUUGGCAAUCAUACCACAUCUUCUUUUUUAUAUGAAACAGACAGAAGAAUAUAAAAGAUAAUUGAAUGUAUUUUUAAUUUUUUUUCCAGAGUCUUGUAUAUAAAUCCACAGAUCCAAUGUGUCUGAGGUUGAGGAAAUCAUUGCAGUAACCAUGUAACAGUUAAGCAUGCACUAGCUCAAAAAUUUGGACCAAGAUUUUAAAAAGGUAAACAUCAAUUGAUCAGCUCUUUUUAUGUCCUCCUUAACUAAGUGAUAUAGUUUAACUCUUGUACUGUACGUACAUACAUGUACAUUGAACUCAAAAUUGGAUUCUGUUAUCUAACGUUUGCCUAAACCACAUGUUAUGCAACCAAUACACAACGCUUAUUAUCAUAAAACGCGGAGUUUGAAUUUGGAGAGCAUCUGCUUUACUGUUCUCUAGAUAUGUCCUUUAAAUUAAGUUUGAUAAGAUCAUUUGUGGCUCAUGGACACAUUCUUCUUAUAUUAAUUUUAUUUAUCAAAUUAUAAUUUGUUGAUUUUAUAAAUUGCGUUCAUUGGCAUAUGCUAUGAGGUCUUGUUGUAUCGAUGUACAUUCUAAAUUUAUUAAGGUAGAAUCCUUUGCAUAUCUUAAAUUAAUUGAAAAAUGACAAUAUUGUGAAACCAAACUUCCUUUAUUAUUAUUUGUAGAAUAACCACUGGUUGCUCCAGAAAAUAUUAUGUCCCCUCUUCCCCAGGGAAAGCUCUUUUCUUAAAUUUUAUUUGGGGGUGGUUGUGUAUGAAAUACCAAAAUGCAAAAGGAGUGUUGUUCUUAUUAAUUUUUAAUUCUGUCGGUGCUGGGAUUUUUUUUUUUAAAAGGGCUUAGGGCUGUCCCUUAGGGGCGGACAUAGUAUUUUCUGGAACAGACAUAAUUUUAUUAACACAUGUUCAAUUUAACAACAAAUUUAUUUUUUAAAUAAGAACAAAGGUUAAUCAUAAGAUAUGAAUAAUUAAUUGUGUUAAAUUUCUAACAUACAUCAUCAAAAUGUGUAUAAUGGGCAAAGAUACAAACAUCUCAGUAACAACACAACAUAAUUAUGAAUCUGCAGUUUAUUAUAGGACCAGCAAUAGAAAAAAUAUUGAUUAUGUUUAAACACAGAAUAAUUUUUAAGAACUGCUGUAAUUCAUAAGUUGGGAUCAAUUUAUUUUUUUGUAUUUUAUAAUUUAUGAUAUUUUUUUUUCAGAGAUCUGAAACCAACACAAGACCAGCUGGGUCAAUAUUCCUAAUGCACCUCCAAAUGAGGAACUAAUGCGCCAUCAAAUGAGGAAC
rnacentral:lncRNA from 1 species